CUACUCUUGACAUCCACGGAAUUCGGCAGAGAUGCCUUAGUGCCUUCGGGAACCGUGAGACAGGUGCUGCAUGGCUGUCGUCAGCUCGUGUUGUGAAAUGUUGGGUUAAGUCCCGCAACGAGCGCAACCCUUAUCCUUUGUUGCCAGCGGUUCGGCCGGGAACUCAAAGGAGACUGCCAGUGAUAAACUGGAGGAAGGUGGGGAUGACGUCAAGUCAUCAUGGCCCUUACGACCAGGGCUACACACGUGCUACAAUGGCGCAUACAAAGAGAAGCGACCUCGCGAGAGCAAGCGGACCUCAUAAAGUGCGUCGUAGUCCGGAUUGGAGUCUGCAACUCGACUCCAUGAAGUCGGAAUCGCUAGUAAUCGUGGAUCAGAAUGCCACGGUGAAUACGUUCCC
rnacentral:rRNA from 1 species